rnacentral:rRNA from 1 species
UACGGAGGGGGCAAGCGUUAUUCGGAAUCAUUGGGCGUAAAGGGCGCGUAGGCGGCUUCAUAAGUCUUGGGUGAAAGCCCUCGGCUCAACCGAGGAAUUGCCUUGGAUACUGUGAAGCUCGAGGCUGGAAGAGGGCAGUGGAAUUCCCGGUGUAGCGGUGAAAUGCGUAGAUAUCGUAAGGAAGACCAGUGGCGAAGGCGGGUCUCUGGACAGUUCCUGACGCUGAGGCACGAAGGCCAGGGGAGCAAACGGG